GCGCGAAAACUUUACAAUGCUGGGAACAGCGAUAAGGGAACCUCGAGUGCCAGGUUACAAAUCUGGCUGUCGUGAUGCCUAAAAAGCAUUAUAUAGCAAGGGCCGGGCAAGACCGGUGCCAGCCGCCGCGGUAACACCGGCGGCUCGAGUGGUAACCGUUAUUAUUGGGUCUAAGGGGUCUGUAGCCGGCCGGAUAAGUCUCUUGGGNAAUCUGGCAGCUUAACUGUCAGGCUUUCAGGGGAUACUGUCUGGCUCGAGUACAGGAGAGGGAAACGGAAUUCCCGGUGUAGAGGUGAAAUUCGUAGAUAUCGGGAGGAACACCAGUGGCGAAGGCGGUUUCCUGGCCUGAUACUGACGCUGAGGCGCGAAAGCGUGGGGAGCAAACAGGAUUAGAAACCCU
rnacentral:rRNA from 1 species